GUCGCAUUAGCUCAAUCGGAUAGAGCUUACACCUGACCCAAAACAAGUACCCAUUCAGAGGGGCAUGUCCCAAGAAUGCCGAAAGUCAGGGUGGUGUGGUGCAGGUUCGAAUCCUGCAUGCGACA
rnacentral:tRNA from 1 species